rnacentral:rRNA from 1 species
UUGCGGUUAAAAAGCUCGUAGUUGGAUCUCGGCAAGUAGAGGGCGGUAUGCUUCGUAGCAUUACUGCCCUAUUACUUGUAGUUUUGCCAGAGGUUCCUGGGUGCUCUUAAUCGAGUGUCUAGGGAUGCUGGCAGGUUUACUUUGAAAAAAUUAGAGUGCUCAAAGCAGGCUAUUACGCUUGAAUAUUCGUGCAUGGAAUAAUAGAAUAGGAAGUUGUUUCUAUUUUGUUGGUUUUCGGAAGUCGACUUAAUGAUUAAUAGGGACAGUCGGGGGCAUUUGUAUUCAAACGACAGAGGUGAAAUUCUUGGACCGUUUGAAGACAAACUACUGCGAAAGCAUUUGCCAAGAAUGUUUUCAUUAAUCAAGAACGAAAGUUAGAGGUUCGAAGGCGAUUAGAUACCGCCCUAGUUCUAACCAUAAACGAUGCCAGCUAGCGAUCUGAGGACGUUUUUUUUGUAGACUCCUCAGAAAGCUUCCGGGAAACCAAAGCGUGUGGGUUCCGGGGGAAGUAUGGUUGCAAAGCUGAAACUUAAAGGAAUUGACGGAAGGGCACCACCAGGAGUGGAGCCUGCGGCUUAAUUUGACUCAACACGGGAAAUCUCACCAGGCCCGGACACUGGAAGGAUUGACAGAUUGAGAGCUCUUUCUCGAU